CUGGAUGUGUUUCAACACAACAAACUGCUCACAUCGAUAACAGUGUGGACCACGUUUGGAGAACUAGCCAUCCUGUACAACUGCACACGGACCGCAUCAGUGCGAGCGGUGAACAGAGUGAGGACAUGGGCUUUGGACCGGGAGGUGUUUCAGAACAUCAUGAGGAGGACGGCUGAGACGCGACAUGAACAGUACCGCAACUUCCUCCGAAGUGUCUCACUCUUGGCUAAUCUACCAGAGGACAAGCUGAGCAAAAUAGUGGACUGCCUGGAGGUGGAAUACUAUGACAAGGGAGACUACGUUAUCCGGGAGGGAGAGGAGGGCAGCACCUUCUACAUCAUCGCACAG